rnacentral:piRNA from 1 species
UNGCACUUUGUACUUGCCAUGGUACCAAUCU